rnacentral:rRNA from 1 species
GUUGAACGCUGGCGGCAUGCCUAACACAUGCAAGUCGAGCGAGCGGCGGACGGGUGAGUAAUGUUUGGGAAACUGCCUGAUGGAGGGGGAUCACUACUGGAAACGGUAGCUAAUACCGCAUACCAUCAGAUGUGCCCAGGUGGGAUUAGCUGGUUGGUGAGGUAACGGCUCACCUAGGCGACGAACCCUAGCUGGUCUGAGAGGAUGACCAGCCACACUGGAACUGAGACACGGCCCAGACGCCUACGGGAGGCAGCAGUGGGGAAUCUUGCACAAUGGGCGAAAGCCUGACGCAGCCAUGCCGCGUGUGUGAAGAAGGCCUUCGGGUCGUAAAGCACUGUCAUUAGGGAGGCGGUACCUACAGAGGAAGCACCGGCUAACUACGUGCCAGCAGCCGCGGUAAUUC